rnacentral:rRNA from 1 species
UACGUAGGGACCGAGCGUUGUCCGGAAUCAUUGGGCGUAAAGAGCGUGUAGGCGGCCUUUUAAGUCCUGCGUGAAAUCCUGCGGCUCAACCGCAGACGGUCGUGGGAAACUGGAAGGCUAGAGUGCGGGAGAGGAGAGUGGAAUUCCCGGUGUAGCGGUGAAAUGCGCAGAUAUCGGGAAGAACACCGGUGGCGAAAGCGCUCUGCUAGGCCGCAACUGACACUCAUGGACGAAAGCUAGGGGAGCGAAUGGGAUUGAGACCUAC